rnacentral:piRNA from 1 species
CUUUGAACUAUUAUGUGACUA